rnacentral:lncRNA from 1 species
AAACCCCCACCCUUUUCUGCCUGGCAGAUGGAAAAUUGAAAGUGUCUCUGAGGGCAGCCAAUCAGACGUUUACAUAGGAUUGUAACUUUGUAACUUCACUUCAGCCUCUGAUUGGUCGCUUCCCACAACCAAUCAGCUUGAUUGUGGGCCAAGUCUUCCUUUGCAUAGAACUGUAACUUUGUAACUUCACUUUGCAAACAGAGGCUUGCAUCGGGUGUAACCUUUGUAACUUCACCUCAGCCUCUGGUUGCAGGUCACUACUUCAUUUACAUAGAGUGUACACCAGGUAACCAAUGGGAAACCUCUAGAAGGUAUUUAAACCCCAGAAAAUUCUGUAAAAAGAGCCCCUAUGCUCCAGCGGCUCCCACCCUGUGGAGCGUACUUUCAUUUUCGAUAAAUCUCUCCUUUUGUUGCUUCCUUCUUUCCUUGCUUUGUUUGUGCGUUUUGUUCAAUUCUUUGCUCAAAACGCCAACAACCUGGACCCCUCCACAUUUCCUUGUAUGAGUUUAAGCGGAGGAAACCUCUCUUAUGCAGGCUCAAGUGGACUGGCCCCCUUUUGACUGGUUGCUGGUAGUCUCCUAUUUUUUCAGGAAAACUGGCCCUGGUGGGGGAUUUUCCUGUUUUGUUUAAGUUUCAGUUUGAUUACGUGGCACUUAGCACAAGUGAUUCCAUUUUGGUCUGGCCUACUGGGGCCUAGUGCAGGAGCUCAGCCCAAUUCAAUGGCCUCCCAUAAAUCUUAUUUAACACUUAGCACCACUGUGCACAUGUGGAAGGUAAAACUCAGAGACGCUAAGUAUCUGAGUGUGUCACAGAGCUAGUAAAAGGCAGAGCUGGGAUCAGAUACAUUGAUUCAUUCACUCAAAAACCUUUUUUUAUCGAGUGCAUACUAUGUAUCAGCCUCUGGGUACUGAGCAUGGGAGCAGAAUCAGACACCCCGAACUGACAGGGCUCACAGACGAGAAGGGGAGACAGUUCUCAAUCAUAGAAAUCACUUGUUCUCACAAACGGUGACACGUGCUAUGAAGAAAAAGGCCUGAGAACUAGGAGGGCAUCUAGAGGCGCCCUUUCUGGUCUAGGCGUCCUACAGGCAGCUGGAGGAAGACGUCUGAGCUGACAUCAGAUUCAUGGGGUGGACUCCUAGGAGCGGGAUGGCUGGGUGAAGGAUAUGAACUCUGUUAAGGGUUUUGAUGCAUAUUGCCAAACCACUUUCCAAAAAGCCCGUGAUGAUUCCUCCCCGAUCGGCAGCUCACAGGUGCACCUUUCCCCACGCAGGAGGACUUCUCACCUAACUUUACUCAGGCGUUAACAUCUGAGCUUUUUCUGACUCAAUUCCUGUUAAAUGUCUAUAACUGCGGGGGAGUCUUCCAGUUCUACAGAUGCAUGGAAUCUGCGUUGUGUGGUGAGGAGAGGCAGCUGAUGGACCCACCCUGCCUGGAAGAACAGCACCGUGGGGAAGCGCAAAGGGCUGGGCGCCAGUGACCCCUCCACAGACUAUUUUGGAAGAAAUAUGGGUCCAAAUGAACUGCCCUGUGACAACUGAAGUGCCAGCUUCUAGGACAGCCUCAAAAGGGAAAUCGAGUUGUCACCACUCUUCUCCCUUUCACCAGCAAAGUUCUCAGAAGGGGGCACCGUUUCUUCCUCGAGCUCCUGGUCUGUGUUUUGAACUCAGCGUCAAGGUUGGCCCCAGUGCACCUGACACAGGCACCCCCUCAUUGUCCCCCGACCUCACGGCAGUGCAUUUACCGACCUCCAGGCCCUGGCAGUGCCUUCUUUGUCUCUUCCUCUUUUGCUUCUCCUUCAGUGUGGGCACUCCCAGAAGUUCUGUCCUUUGUUCUUUCCCCUUUAGGCAUCGUCCUUCAGAGAUCCUGUCCACCUCUGGGUCCGCGUCUCUUUGUGAUCAACUCCAGCCUCUUCCCUCCUUCCCAUGAGCUCUGCAUUGCACCUGGGUCCACCUGGACCCCAGCCACGGUGAGCAGCUGGACUGAGGACGGGCCACACCCUGGGCCUGCUCCUGACCAUGCUCCUUCCAUUUGUGGGAUAUUUCAUCACCCCAAACUCAAAACCCCAGAAUAACCCGUGCACUUCUCCCUUGUCUGCUGUCCCAAAUCCCUUUGUUCUUCCAUCCUAGCACCUCCUCCAGUGGCCCUUCCUUUCAGUUUCUGCCACCGGCUCCCUGGGCUGUCCCCUGCACUCUCUGGGCAGGCUGGCCCCCACUCAGCCUAUCUUGAACACAACUGCUCAGACUCAUGCUUUAAAGCCCCCUCUUGAAGUCACUCACCUAAUUGAAAGCCACCUGUGAGUUCCUGCU